rnacentral:rRNA from 1 species
CCUACGGAGGCAGCAGUGGGGAAUAUUGGGCAAUGGAGGAAACUCUGACCCAGCGACGCCGCGUGCGGGAUUAAGGCCUUCGGGUUGUAAACCGCUUUCAGCAGGGAAGAAGCGAAAGUGACGGUACCUGCAGAAGAAGCACCGGCUAACUAUGUGCCAGCAGCCGCGGUAAUACAUAGGGUGCAAGCGUUGUCCGGAAUUAUUGGGCGUAAAGAGCUCGUAGGUGGUUCGUCACGUCGGAUGUGAAAAUCUGGGGCUUAACCCCAGACCUGCAUUCGAUACGGGCGAGCUUGAGUAUGGUAGGGGAGUCUGGAAUUCCUGGUGUAGCGGUGGAAUGCGCAGAUAUCAGGAGGAACACCAAUGGCGAAGGCAGGACUCUGGGCCAUUACUGACACUGAGGAGCGAAAGCGUGGGGAGCGAACAGGAUUAGAUACCCUGGUAGUCCACGCCGUAAACGGUGGGCACUAGUUGUGGGGACCUUCCACGGUCUCUGCGACGCNGCUACGACAUAGUGCCGCCGUCGGAGGUACGAGCGCAGAUAACUACAANAGAGUAGAGCGNGAGACGNGCGACGACGACGACGAGGGAGAG